rnacentral:rRNA from 1 species
CAGUCGCCACGGUAAUGCGUAGGCGGCAAGCGUUGUCCGGAAUUAUUGGGCGUAAAGCGCGCGCAGGCGGAUCAGUCAGUCUGUCUUAAAAGUUCGGGGCUUAACCCCGUGAGGGGAUGGAAACUGCUGAUCUAGAGUAUCGGAGAGGAAAGUGGAAUUCCUAGUGUAGCGGUGAAAUGCGUAGAUAUUAGGAAGAACACCAGUGGCGAAGGCGACUUUCUGGACGAAAACUGACGCUGAGGUGCGAAAGCCAGGGGAGCGAACGGGAUUAGAUACCCCUGUAGUCCCUGUCUCUUAUACA